rnacentral:rRNA from 1 species
UUGGCCUCGGAUCAGGCGGGACUACCCGCUGAACUUAAGCAUAC